rnacentral:lncRNA from 1 species
CUCAAGGAGUGUAUUAUUUCAGCUGUCAGUUUAACAGUUUAUUCUACUUUAGCCAAAACUCUGUUACUAUGUGAUUUAAGAAUAAAACUUUUUCACUUGGAUUCACAGCUCAAGUUUCCUCAUUUACGAACUAUAUAAUAUUGAGGUAGUAUCUUGAAAGUCAUGUUCCCACAUACUUAGCUCUGGGUUGUAAGAAUUACUGGGAUUGUAUUUUUAUUAUCUAGGAUUAGGAAGUGUUACAGGGUUGCUAUCCAUUCAGUAAAUGGAGGUUAGUUAAGCAGCUGAUAAAAUGAGACAGAUUUUUGGUAAUCUUCCCCAGGCAUCUUAGACACUGCAAUAAAUACAAAUAAAUAAGGAAAAACUGUUCAGUUUUACAUUAAACAAAUUAUUCAGACUUUGUAAAUCAACUCUAUGUCAAUAAAAUACAUUUUAAAAACAUAUUCACCAUCUGCUAUACAGCCCUUACUGAUCCAGUUCAGAAAGACUUCAGUUUUACUGGGCUUGUAUUAGAUAAUACAGCUCAUGCAGUUAUAGUCCUCUGAAAUGGAGUGUAAUAUGAAUUGUAUAAUUGUCUAACCUGGUCCUUUUACAGAAGCACU